CACGUAGGGCGCAAGCGUUUGUCCGGAAUUAUUGGGCGUAAAGAGCUCGUAGGCGGCCUGUUGCGUCCGCUGUGAAAGCCCGGGGCUUAACCCCGGGUCUGCAGUGGAUACGGGCAGGCUAGAGGUAGGUAGGGGAGAAUGGAAUUCCCGGUGUAGCGGUGAAAUGCGCAGAUAUCGGGAGGAACACCGGUGGCGAAGGCGGUUCUCUGGGCCUUACCUGACGCUGAGGAGCGAAAGCGUGGGGAGCGAACAGG
rnacentral:rRNA from 1 species